rnacentral:misc_RNA from 1 species
GAAGUGCGAUAAGUGUCAUGACUUGCAGAUUCCCGAGAGCUGACUAAUUUCUGAAUGCAAAUGGCGACCGCUUAACCCGGUCAUGUAUUGUAGAGUGUAGUUGUUCCGACUCAUCAUCCCCUUUCUCUCACACCUAAAUACUCACGUCGAAAGAUGCGAGUAGAGAGAGAAAGCGAUUGGGAUCUGCGCUUGCGAUCACACACGCGAGCGUGAAGUCACGAGCGUCCUCCGAGAGGGAUUCACGUUCCUCUCGAAGGCGACUUCGGAUAUACAGACAUUCGCUGCCGCGCGCAUAUAUGCACAAGCAAUUGUGUAUGUAUGUGUGUGGAUAGUGGAUGUCCUAAACCCCUGAAGUUUCCCGCUCCAACAACUUUCGACAGCCACCUCUGCGAUGCAGGAG